GCAUGGUGACCGUAUUAAAAGUGCCUCAAAGCACUGGUAGAGGAUGGACUUAUGGCGCAUUAGCUGGUUGGCGGGGUAACGGCCCACCAAGGCGACGAUGCGUAGCCGACCUGAGAGGGUGACCGGCCACACUGGGACUGAGACACGGCCCAGACUCCUACGGGAGGCAGCAGUAGGGAAUUUUCGGCAAUGGGGGAAACCCUGACCGAGCAACGCCGCGUGAAGGAAGAAGGUUUUCGGAUUGUAAACUUCUGUUAUAAAGGAAGAACGGCGGCUACAGGAAAUGGUAGCCGAGUGACGGUACUUUAUUAGAAAGCCACGGCUAACUACGUGCCAGCAGCCGCGGUAAUACGUAGGUGGCAAGCGUUAUCCGGAAUUAUUGGGCGUAAAGAGGGAGCAGGCGGCAGCAAGGGUCUGUGGUGAAAGCCUGAAGCUUAACUUCAGUAAGCCAUAGAAACCAGGCAGCUAGAGUGCAGGAGAGGAUCGUGGAAUUCCAUGUGUAGCGGUGAAAUGCGUAGAUAUAUGGAGGAACACCAGUGGCGAGGGCGACGAUCUGGCCUGCAACUGACGCUCAGUCCCGAAAGCGUGGGGAGCAAAUAGGAUUAGAUACCCUAGUAGUCCACGCCGUAAACGAUGAGUACUAAGUGU
rnacentral:rRNA from 1 species